CAGCCGCCACGGUAAUACGUAGGGCGCAAGCGUUAAUCGGAAUUACUGGGCGUAAAGCGUGCGCAGGCGGUUUGUUAAGACAGAUGUGAAAUCUCUGGGCUCAACCCAGAGUCUGCAGGCGAAACUGUCGGGCUUGAGUAUGGGAGAGGUGAGUGGAAUUCCACGUGUAGCAGUGAAAUGCGUAGAGAUGUGGAGGAAUACCGAUGGCGAAGGCAGCCCCCUGGGCCAAUACUGACGCUCAUGCGCGAAAGCGUGGGGAGCAAACAGGAUUAGAUACCCCUGUAGUCCCUGUCUCUUAUAC
rnacentral:rRNA from 1 species